UACCCGCAGCACAAGUGGUGGUCAUUAUUAUUGGGCCUAAAGCGUCCGUAGCUGACCUGUUAGAUGCCUGGGUAAAUCGAAGCGCUCAACGUUUCGAAUUCCGGGUAGACCGGCAGGCUCGAGACCGGGAGAGGUGUGGGGUACUCGGGGGGUAGGGGUAAAAUCCUGUAAUCCUUCGGGGAGGACCAGUGGCGAAGGCGCUACACUAGAACGGCUCUGACAGUGAGGGACGAAGCCCUGGGGCGCAAACCGG
rnacentral:rRNA from 1 species